rnacentral:rRNA from 1 species
GAUGAACGCUAGCGGCAGGCUUAACACAUGCAAGUCGAGGGGUAUUGGUUUUCGGACCAAGAGACCGGCGCACGGGUGCGUAACGCGUAUGCAAUCUACCUUUUGCAGAGGGAUAGCCCAGAGAAAUUUGGAUUAAUACCUCAUAGUAUAGUACUUUGGCAUCAAGGAACUAUUAAAGUCACAACGGCAAAAGAUGAGCAUGCGUCCCAUUAGCUAGUUGGUAAGGUAACGGCUUACCAAGGCUACGAUGGGUAGGGGUCCUGAGAGGGAGAUCCCCCANACUGGUACUGAGACACGGACCAGACUCCUACGGGAGGCAGCAGUGAGGAAUAUUGGACAAUGGGCGCAAGCCUGAUCCAGCCAUGCCGCGUGCAGGAUGACGGUCCUAUGGAUUGUAAACUGCUUUUANACAGGAAGAAACACUCCGACGUGUCGGAGCUUUGACGGUACUGUAAGAAUAAGGAUCGGCUAGCUCCGUGCCAGCAGCCG